rnacentral:pre_miRNA from 1 species
UUUGAAUCAACCAGGAAUCUUGUUAAAAUGCAGAUUCUGAUUCAGUAGAUCUGGAUGGGGCCAGUUUCUAUAAGCUCACAAGUGAAGACAAAGCU